rnacentral:tRNA from 1 species
GAUCCCUUGGCUGACCUGCGCAAAAGCGCUGGUCGCGCCCUUGACUUCUAAUCCGACGGUCGCAGGUUCGAAUCCUGCAGGGCGCG